CGGACGUGGCUCAGUGGUAGAGCAUCACCUUGCCAAGGUGAGGGUCNCGUCGUCUGGCCGA
rnacentral:tRNA from 1 species